CCAGCAGCCGCGGUAAUACGUAGGUGGCAAGCGUUGUCCGGAAUUAUUGGGCGUAAAGGGCUCGCAGGCGGUUUCUUAAGUCUGAUGUGAAAGCCCCCGGCUCAACCGGGGAGGGUCAUUGGAAACUGGGAAACUUGAGUGCAGAAGAGGAGAGUGGAAUUCCACGUGUAGCGGUGAAAUGCGUAGAGAUGUGGAGGAACACCAGUGGCGAAGGCGACUCUCUGGUCUGUAACUGACGCUGAGGAGCGAAAGCGUGGGGAGCGAACAGGAUUAGAUACCCCCGUAGUCCCUGUCUCUUAUA
rnacentral:rRNA from 1 species